GAGUUUGAUCAUGGCUCAGGAUAAACGCUGGCGGCGUGCUUCAGGCAUGCAAGUCGAACGGGCGUCUGGCUUCGGCCAGCCGCUAGUGGCGGACGGGUGAGUAACGCGUUAGCAACCUGCCCAGAAGUGGGGAAUAACUAACCGAAAGGUUAGCUAAUACCGCAUGUGAUGGUUGGUCCUUGGACCGGUCAUGAAAGGCUUCGGCCGCUUCUGGAGGGGCUUGCGUCAGAUUAGCUAGUUGGUGGGGUAAUGGCCUACCAAGGCGACGAUCUGUAGCUGGUCUGAGAGGACGACCAGCCACACUGGAACUGAGACACGGUCCAGACUCCUACGGGAGGCAGGCAGUGGGGAAUAUUGGACAAUGGGGGAAACCCUGAUCCAGCCAUGCCACGUGAGUGAUGAAGGCCUUAGGGUUGUAAAGCUCUUUUACCAGGGAAGAUGAUGACGGUACCUGGAGAAUAAGCACCGGCUAACUUCGUGCCAGCCGCCGCUGUAAC
rnacentral:rRNA from 1 species